rnacentral:rRNA from 1 species
GUGCCAGCAGCGCGGUCAUACCGGCAGCUCAAGUGAUGGCCGAUCUUAUUGGGCCUAAAGCGUCCGUAGCUGGCCUCGCAAGUCCGUCGGGAAAUCCAGUAGCUCAACUACUGGGCGUCCGGCGGAAACUACAAGGCUUGGGACCGGAAGGCUCGAGAGGUACGUCCGGGGUAGGAGUGAAAUCCCGUAAUCCCGAACGGACCACCGAUGGCGAAAGCAUCUCGAGAAAACGGAUCCGACAGUGAGGGACGAAAGCUAGGGUCUCGAACCGGAUUAGAUACCCGUGUAGUCC